CUUGAAACCUAUAAGAGGUCCAGCCUGCCCAGUGACUUUGUUCAACGGCCGCGGUAUCCUAACCGUGCGAAGGUAGCGUAAUCACUUGUUCUUUAAAUGAGGACUAGUAUGAAUGGCACCACGAAGGUUAUACUGUCUCCUUUUUCUAAUCAGUGAAACUAAUCUUCCCGUGAAGAAGCGGGAAUAAAAAUAUAAGACGAGAAGACCCUAUGGAGCUUUAAACAAAUAUACAAUUGCCUCCUUUAAUAAAAAUUCCAGAAAAGACACUUCUAUUUGGGCACUUUGAUAUAAAGUUUUAGGUUGGGGUGACCACGGAGUAAAAAACAACCUCCGCAGUGAAAGGGGCUUUCCCCCUAAACCGAGGGCUACAACCCUAAGAAUCAAUAAAUUGACACUAAUUGACCCAAUUAAUUGAUCAAUGAAC
rnacentral:rRNA from 1 species